ACUGUGACGCCCCGACUUCCCAUGGGGUCACCCAUCCUAGGACUACUCCCGUCCUAGCACGCUUAACUCUCUUAGCCUUUUGGGCCAUGCUACCAUCCAAAAUGUUUAAGUCGGGUUAAAAAUUUUAGCCUUAUUAUAUCUUAUAUAUAAGAUUAUUCGGGGUCUCACAAUCUCACCCCCUCCUUUAAGACCUAACGUCUCUGUCAGGCUGCGACGUGAGACUCAUCUCGCUAACCUCCCAGGCUCUGCCGAGACUCAUUUCACACUUUCGGCUGUUAAUUUGCUCUGAUACCAACUGUGACGUCCUAACUUUCCAGGGAGUCACCCAUCCUAGAACUAUUUUCGUCCUAGCACGCUUAACUCUCUUAGCCUCUUGGGCCACGCUACCAUCCAAAAUAUUUAAGCCGGGUUAAGAGUUUUAGUUCUAUUAUAUUUUAUAUAUAAGACUAUUCAGGGUCUCAUAAUGUUCACUAAUGUUAGAUGGAUAAAAUUUAAAUGUUG
rnacentral:lncRNA from 1 species